rnacentral:rRNA from 1 species
GAUGAACGCUGGCGGCGUGCCUAAUACAUGCAAGUCGAGCGAACAGACGAGGCGCUUGCUCCUCUGACGUUAGCGGCGGACGUGUGAGUAACACGUGGAUAACCUACCUAUAAGACUGGGAUAACUUCGGGAAACCGGAGCUAAUACCGGAUAAUAUAUUGAACCGCAUGGUUCAAUAGAGAAAUACGGUUUUUCUGUCACUUAUAGAGAGAUCCCCGCCGCAUUAGCUAGUUGGGGAGGUAACGGCUUACCAAGGGGACGAUGCGUGGCCGACGGGAGAGAGUGAUCGGCCACACGGGAACUGAGACAGCGUCAAGACUCCUACGGGAGGCAGCAGUAGGGAAUCGUACGCAACGGGCGAAAGCCUGACGGAGCAACGGCGCGUGAGUGAUGAAGGUCUUCGGAUCGUAAAACUCUGUUAUGAGGGAAGAACAAAUGUGUAAGUAACUAUGCACGUCUUGACGGUACCUAAUCAGAAAGCCACGGCUAACUACGUG